rnacentral:rRNA from 1 species
UACGGAGGAUGCGAGCGUUAUCCGGAUUUAUUGGGUUUAAAGGGUGCGUAGGCGGAUCGUUAAGUCAGUGGUCAAAUUGAGGGGCUCAACCCCUUCCCGCCAUUGAAACUGGCGAUCUUGAAUGGAAGAGAAGUAUGCGGAAUGCGUGGUGUAGCGGUGAAAUGCAUAGAUAUCACGCAGAACCCCGAUUGCGAAGGCAGCAUGCCGGCUUCCUACUGACGCUGAAGCACGAAAGCGUGGGGAUCGAACAGG